rnacentral:rRNA from 1 species
AGAGCGAACGCUGGCGGCAGGCCUAACACAUGCAAGUCGAGCGCCCGUAGCAAUACGGGAGCGGCAGACGGGAUAGUAACACGUGGGAACGCGCCCUUCGGUUCGGAAUAACUCAGGGAAACUUGAGCUAAUACCGAAUACGCCCUUACGGGGAAAGAUUUAUUGCCGAAGGAACGGCCCGCGUCCGAUUAGCUAGUUGGUGAGGUAAUGGCUCACCAAGGCUACGAUCGGUAGCUGGUCUGAGAGGAUGACCAGCAUCACUGGGACUGAGACACGGCCCAGACUCCUACGGGAGGCAGCAGUGGGGAAUAUUGCACAAUGGGCGCAAGCCUGAUGCAGCAACGCCGCGUGAGGGACGACGGCCUUCGGGUUGUAACCUCUUUAGUAGGAAGAAGCGAAAGUGACGGUACCUGCGAGAAAAGCACCGGCUAACUACGCGCCAGCAGCCGC